CUACGGGCCGCUCCAGUGGGGAAUAUUGGACAAUGGGGGAAACCCUGAUCCAGCAAUGCCGCGUGUGCGAUGAAGGCCUGCGGGUUGUAAAGCACUUUCGGUGGGGAAGAAAUGCUCAAAUAUAAUACAUUUGAGAGCUGGCGUUACCCACAGAAGAAGCACCGGCAAACUCUGUGCCAGCAGCCGCGGUAAUACAGAGGGUGCAAGCGUUAAUCGGAGUUACUGGACGUAAAGGGCGCGUAGGCUGAUGCUUAAGUCGGUUGUGAAAUCCCUGGGCUUAACCUAGGAAUUGCAGUCGAUACUGGGCGUCUAGAGUAUGGUAGAGGAAAGUGGAAUUUUCGGUGUAGUGGUUAAAUACGUAGAUAUCGAAAAGAACACCAGUGGCGAAGGCGACUUUCUGGACCAAUACUGACGCUGAGGCGCGAAAGCAUGGGGAGCAAACAGGAUUAGAUACCCCUGUAGUC
rnacentral:rRNA from 1 species